UACGGAGGGUGCGAGCGUUAAUCGGAAUAACUGGGCGUAAAGGGCACGCAGGCGGAGUUGUAAGUGAGGUGUGAAAUCCCCGGGCUUAACCUGGGAAUUGCAUUUGAUACUGGGAGUCUAGAGUACUUUAGGGAGGGGUAGAAUUCCACGUGUAGCGGUGAAAUGCGUAGAGAUGUGGAGGAAUACCGGAGGCGAAGGCAGCCCCCUGGGAAUGUACUGACGCUGAUGUGCGAAAGCGUGGGGAGCAAACAGG
rnacentral:rRNA from 1 species